rnacentral:rRNA from 1 species
GAUGAACGCUGGCGGCGUGCCUAAUACAUGCAAGUCGAGCGAACAGACGAGGAGCUUGCUCCUCUGACGUUAGCGGCGGACGGGUGAGUAACACGUGGAUAACCUACCUAUAAGACUGGGAUAACUUCGGGAAACCGGAGCUAAUACCGGAUAAUAUAUUGAACCGCAUGGUUCAAUAGUGAAAGACGGUUUUGCUGUCACUUAUAGAUGGAUCCGCGCCGCAUUAGCUAGUUGGUAAGGUAACGGCUUACCAAGGCGACGAUGCGUAGCCGACCUGAGAGGGUACGCGCCCCAACGGAAACUGAGACGCGGCCAAGACUCUGAGGGGGGGAGGCAGGGGGAAUUUUUCCGCAAGGGGGGAAGGCCGGCGGGGGCAACGCGGGGGGAGUGAUGAAGGUCUUCGGAUCGAAAAACUUUUUUAUGAGGAAAGAAAAAAUGGGUAAGUAACUAUGCACGUUUGGAGGGUACCUAACAAGAAAGCCCGGGCUAACUACGGC